AAAGCGUGCGCAGGCGGUUAUACAAGACAGGCGUGAAAUCCCCGGGCUUAACCUGGGAAUGGCGUCUGUGACUGUAUGACUAGAGUGUGUCAGAGGGGGGUAGAAUUCCACGUGUAGCAGUGAAAUGCGUAGAUAUGUGGAGGAAUACCAAUGGCGAAGGCAGCCCCCUGGGAUAACACUGACGCUCAUGCACGAAAGCGUGGGGAGCAAACAGGAUUAGAUACCCUGGU
rnacentral:rRNA from 1 species